GCGGCGCGGCGCGGCGGCCCGGAAGUGGCGGCGGGCGCUCCGGAAGGAGACGUGGCGGCGGUUGGGGCCCCGCUGCCCGCUCGCGGCCCGCCGCCUCCUCCCUGCGCCCGGCUGGCGGCGGCUGAGUGCGCGGUGGAGGAUGGAGGGCGGCGGCGCGCGGAGCCCGCUGCUGCUGCUGCUCUGCGGCCUCCUGCGGGCGGCGGGCGGCGGCCGGGCGCUCCCGCCGCUCAGCGACGACAUCCCCUUCCGAGUCAACUGGCCCGGCACCGAGUUCUCUCUGCCUACAACUGGAGUUUUGUAUAAAGAAGAUAAUUAUGUCAUCAUGACAACUACACAUAAAGAAAAAUACAAAUGUAUUCUUCCCCUUGUAACAAGUGGAGAUGAGGAAGAAGAAAAGGAUUAUAAAGGCCCUAAUCCAAGAGAGCUGCUGGAACCACUGUUUAAGCAAAGCAGUUGUUCUUACAGGAUUGAGUCUUACUGGACUUACGAAGUGUGUCACGGGAAACACAUCCGGCAGUACCAUGAAGAGAAAGAAAGUGGGCAGAAAGUAAAUAUUCAUGAAUACUACCUUGGAAAUAUGUUGGCUAAGAACCUUCUGUCUGAAAAAGAACAAGAAGCAGAAGAAAAAGAAAAAUCAAAAGAGAUUCCUACUAAAAACAUUGAAGGUCAGAUGACACCGUACUACCCUGUGGGAAUGGGAAAUGGGACGCCUUGUAGUUUGAAACAAAACCGGCCCAGAUCAAGUACUGUCAUGUACAUAUGUCAUCCGGAGUCCAAGCAUGAAAUCCUCUCAGUAGCCGAAGUCACAACUUGUGAAUAUGAAGUUGUCAUUUUGACCCCACUCUUGUGCAGCCAUCCUAAAUAUAGAUUCAGAGCAUCUCCUGUGAAUGACAUAUUUUGCCAGUCACUGCCAGGAUCACCAUUUAAGCCCCUCACCUUGAGACAAUUGGAACAGCAGGAAGAAAUACUGAGAGUGCCUUUCAGGAGAAAUAAAGAGGAAGAUCUGCAAUCAACUAAGGAAGAGAAAUUCCCAGCAAUCCAUAAACCUAUUGCUGUUGGCUCUCAGCCUCUGCUCACCGUUGGAACAACCCACAUUUCCAAGCUGACAGAUGACCAGCUCAUAAAAGAGUUCCUUAGUGGGUCUUACUGUUUUCAUGGGGGCGUCGGCUGGUGGAAGUACGAGUUCUGCUACGGCAAACACGUCCAUCAGUACCACGAGGACAAGGACAGUGGGAAAACCUCUGUGGUGGUGGGCACCUGGAACCAAGACGAACACAUCGAGUGGGCCAAGAAGAACACGGCUCGCGCCUAUCACCUCCAGGAUGACGGCACACAGACGGUCAGGAUGGUGUCACACUUUUAUGGGAAUGGAGAUGUUUGUGACAUAACUGACAAACCAAGACAGGUGACUGUGAAGCUAAAGUGUAAAGAAUCAGAUUCUCCUCAUGCUGUUACAGUAUAUAUGUUAGAGCCUCAUUCUUGUCAGUAUAUUCUUGGGGUGUACAUCACUGUAUGUUAAGUUCACCAUUAAAAGUCUAACUCUUGGGCCUGAGGAGCAUGCUUCGCGUACGGGGAGUCCAGGUUCACUCCCUGGUACCUCUUGGUACCCUGAGGACUGCCGUGAACAGCUUCCAAGCACCACGCCAAGAGCAGCCCUGGAAACUACCAGGUUGAAUCUCCAGUGAUCUGUAAAAUCUUAGACACAGCAGAUGAAAAUGGACUUCUUUCUCUCCCCAACUAAAGGAUAAUGAAGUUCAGGGAAAGAAAAGAUCAUUGAAAGUUAUGAUGAUUUCUGAACUGAACCUCAUACAAAAGAUCAUAAAAGGACUCAACCGUUUGUGAAUAAUAUGUGUAUAUAAGAGGUUAUUGAUAAACUUCGAUUGCAGACAUUUCUCUCACUUUUUUUUUUCAUUUUUUGUUGUGUCUUAUGAACUGAUUGUGUAUGUUUUUCAUUGCUUGGCUAAUGUGAUUUUUAAAUAAAUCUCAUCCAAGCAACUUAGAAUCCAGUCUAAUGAAAUGUCAUAAUUGUAUACCUAUUGAAAAUUUUUGAAUAAAUUUAUUAUGUAAAUUAUAUAUAACUAGUUAAUGAAGCAAAAAUAAUGAAGAAAGAAAAUAAUAGGCAGUUGUUCAAAUGAGAGACUGUGUAAAAUAUGUAUAUUCUAGUGCCUAAAAUCUUGCCAACAAAAUUUUAUUUAGCAACUGCUCCGUACCAGGUAAUAAGUUAGAAACUUAAUAGAGCCUUACAAACAACUUUUUUUUUUUUUUUACCUCUAUCAGUCUCAAAAAACUCUUAUUUGUAGUAAGUUGCUUCUCUCAUAACUUUGAACUGUUUCCUUCUCCUUGACAUGAGUUUGUUUGUGCCAGUCUAUAUGCCUGGUGUAGAUAGUCAAUGAUACUCUUUUGAUUUUAAAUGGUUUACUCUAACAAAACACACUGUGCUGGCUAGCCUUUGUGCUCGCCUACUGUAUACUACAGAUUUUAGUUUGACGGUUUUAUAGCACAAUAUUUAUUUUUAAGUGAAUAAAGCCUCCAUAAGCAGUGUUGCAAUGUA